rnacentral:rRNA from 1 species
AACGAACGCUGGCGGCAUGCCUAACACAUGCAAGUCGAACGAGACCCUCGGGUCUAGUGGCGCACGGGUGCGUAACGCGUGGGAAUCUGCCCUUGGGUUCGGAAUAACAGUUGGAAACGACUGCUAAUACCGGAUGAUGACGUAAGUCCAAAGAUUUAUCGCCCAAGGAUGAGCCCGCGUAGGAUUAGCUAGUUGGUGAGGUAAAGGCUCACCAAGGCGACGAUCCUUAGCUGGUCUGAGAGGAUGAUCAGCCACACUGGGACUGAGACACGGCCCAGACUCCUACGGGAGGCAGCAGUGGGGAAUAUUGGACAAUGGGCGAAAGCCUGAUCCAGCAAUGCCGCGUGAGUGAUGAAGGCCUUAGGGUUGUAAAGCUCUUUUACCCGGGAUGAUAAUGACAGUACCGGGAGAAUAAGCUCCGGCUAACUCCGUG